rnacentral:rRNA from 1 species
CAGUCGCCGCGGGAAUACGUAGGUGGCAAGCGUUGUCCGGAAUCAUUGGGCGUAAAGAGCGUGUAGGCGGCUCGGUAAGUCCGCUGUGAAAGUCCAGGGCUCAACCCUGGAAUGCCGGUGGAAACUGUCGAGCUAGAGUCCGGAAGAGGCGAGUGGAACUCCUGGUGUAGCGGUGAAAUGCGCAGAUAUCAGGAAGAACACCAAUGGCGAAGGCAGCUCGCUGGGACGGUACUGACGCUGAGACGCGAAAGCGUGGGGAGCAAACAGGAUUAGAUACCCGAGUAGUCCCUGUCUCUUAUAC